UACGGGGGGGGCAAGCGUUGUUCGGAAUUACUGGGCGUAAAGGGCUCGUAGGUGGCCAACUAAGUCAGACGUGAAAUCCCCAGGCUCAACUUGGGAACUGCGUCUGAUACUGGAUGGCUUGAGUAUGGGAGAGGGAUGUAGAAUUCCAGGUGUAGCGGUGAAAUGCGUAGAUAUCUGGAGGAAUACCGGUGGCGAAGGCGGCAUCCUGGACCAUUACUGACGCUGAGGCGCGAAAGCUAGGGGAGCAAACGGG
rnacentral:rRNA from 1 species